GUAACUGAAAAAAGAAAAAAAAGGCAGGUUCUGAUUCAGUACACCAGAGGCCUGAGACUCGGCAUUUCACACUUUCAGGAGUGCCAAAGCUGCUGACCUCAGGACCACACUUUGAGUAGCAGGUCUCAGAGGACACAUUCCACAAAGAGAAAACCCGUGAGGCAUUCUUCCCAUUACAGAGAAAAAGAAAAGUUCAGGAAAGGUCAACCCAGCUCUUUCUCUAAACAUGACAAUGGACUGGUUUCAUUGUACCCAACCUUGAAAUACCCCGCGAUUUCCUAGUGGUGGGGUGGGGAGUGGACUGAAGAAUUACGGCAGUUAUUUAAUUAACAGCCUCUCACAGCUGUUCCCAACAGGAAAGAGGAAGAAGGCUACAGACAACUGUUGGGACCCCAGAUGAGGACACCACCAUGCCAAUGUUAUUUUGAAUACAAAACCCCCUUUGCCAAGAGACCGUAAUCCAUUUUGGGAGAGGGCUGUCUAAAGCUGUUUGGCCUUCCAAAGCAACACUGCCCCAUAUUAUUUUCUCUUUUAUAUUUAACUCUUUUGUGUUUGUGUAGGGAGGCUAGAAUGUGUUGCCUAGAGGGAGACAGACUGAAAUACGGAGGAUUAAGAAAGGGAAGGGCCAGAUGAUCCACUAUCCUUCCUUCUGGCCGGUGACUGUCCAAAGUACUCUAAUUUAUUGGCAGUCACCUAUUACUUGAUUGACAAUGCGUUCUUCCAACUUAAUGAGGAAAAAGAAUGUGCAGUAAAAAAAUGUACGUAGAGGGCCGGCUGAGUGGCUCCUUGGUUAAGAGUU